UACGGAGGGGGCUAGCGUUGUUCGGAAUUACUGGGCGUAAAGCGCGCGUAGGCGGAUCUGCAAGUCGGGGGUGAAAUCCCGAGGCUCAACCUCGGAACUGCCUUCGAUACUGCGGGUCUCGAGUCCGGGAGAGGUGAGUGGAAUUCCUAGUGUAGAGGUGAAAUUCGUAGAUAUUAGGGAAGAAACACCAGUGGCGAAGG
rnacentral:rRNA from 1 species